GGGUUGUGAGGUUAAGCGACUAAGCGUACACGGUGGAUGCCCUGGCAGUCAGAGGCGAUGAAGGGCGUGCUAAUCUGCGAUAAGCGCCGGUAAGGUGAUAUGAACCGUUAUAACCGGCGAUACCCGAAUGGGGAAACCCAGUGUGACUCGUCACACUAUCAUUAACUGAAUCCAUAGGUUAAUGAGGCGAACCGGGGGAACUGAAACAUCUAAGUACCCCGAGGAAAAGAAAUCAACCGAGAUUCCCCCAGUAGCGGCGAGCGAACGGGGAGGAGCCCAGAGCCUGAAUCAGCAUGUGUGUUAGUGGAAGCGUCUGGAAAGGCGCGCGAUACAGGGUGACAGCCCCGUACACAAAAGCGCAUGUGCUGUGAGCUCGAUGAGUAGGGCGGGACACGUGGUAUCCUGUCUGAAUAUGGGGGGACCAUCCUCCAAGGCUAAAUACUCCUGACUGACCGAUAGUGAACCAGUACCGUGAGGGAAAGGCGAAAAGAACCCCGGCGAGGGGAGUGAAAAAGAACCUGAAACCGUGUACGUACAAGCAGUGGGAGCACCCUUUGGGGUGUGACUGCGUACCUUUUGUAUAAUGGGUCAGCGACUUAUAUUCUGUAGCAAGGUUAACCGAAUAGGGG
rnacentral:rRNA from 1 species